AGUGUGAAGGCUGCAGCAGGCAUCAUCACGGGACACCGAAUGAGUAAAUAAAACACGUUGCUUUACUCGCCUUCAGCAGUUAAUAGGGCGGCCCUGCUGAUCAAAAGAAUAUUAGCUUUGAUUAAUCAAUCAAUACCCCGGUGGCCUCCGUCCUGUCCAUUGAUCUGCAUCGCUGUAUGGAGGUCAGCGUCGGGCUCAGCGGCAUGUGAAACACUCGGCUGUGUUUUUCACACUGGCCCGCUCAAACGAAAAUCCGCCCUCAUUGAUUUUCCUUUCAUUUCCCUCCUUUUGCCUUUUUAAAAUGUUCUCCUCUCGCUCGCACCGAGGGAAGUUGCAGUGGGAGUUUUAGGCGUAAGUUGGAAAGCAAGUCAACACUGGUGAAGUUUCGUAAAGCUUCUGCAACUAGCGGGUCCAUGACGAUGACUUCUGUUUUGUUUGAUCAGUUGUUUUACUGCCGUGUGACAGGAACCGUUUGGAAACAAUUAAGGUGAAGACGUGGUCGUUAGCAUUCCCACACACGCUCAUAAUGUAAGGUAACGUAGUAGGAAUGAUGCUGAUCUUUAUCCCAUUUCGGACAUUUCCUGAAAGUUUGAUGAAAAUCUGCCCAUACCUUUUUGAGCUAUCUACAGCAGAAUGAAAGUGAACACUCUGGUCAGUCAUCCAUCUUUUUUUUACCGUGGGGCCGUGAGCAAACAAACACAGAGAAACAUGAAUAAAAGGUGGAAAUUAUCCAGAUCAGCUACAAAAUCUAAACUUCUGUUUCUUAUCCCAUUACAGAGAGGAGCAACGUUCAUAUAUUUUCAAUAUUCAGUGUUGUAUUGAUCAUUAGUAAUAUUGUAAAUCCCUCAUUAUGUAUUCUCAUGUACAUUUUGAAUGCCUCGGUUAUAAUGUCGAACAAGGAAAAACAAAAAAGUGAUGUCCUUUUUGUCAGUUUAAUGACAUGCAACUAGUGCGCUGCAAAAACUAAAGUCCAAUUAUUAUCAACUCUUUCUUGGUUUUUUUUUCCUAAAAAGAAAAAAAAAGUUUUAUCUUGCAAUUUUACACAGAAAAGAAAAUAUACUUACACAGAAAGUAUAUCUUGCCUAAUUCUUAAAAGGAUAUUUUCGGCCAGAAAUUUCUAUUUUUUUUACAAGCUGAAAAUUUGAAUUAUUCCUCAACAACAAAUGUGUCUUAAAGUGCCAGCAGAGUGGAACAACAAGUUGACUUUAUAUACUUAAUUGUGUUUCAUUGUAUCCAUCAAAGCGUAUCUAAUUGUAUUUACAAUCAGCGAAGCAGGUGAAAAUACCGUCUACACAUCACAUACAAUAUUCCGCUCCGAAAGUCUUCGUCAUUUUUCGUAAGAUAUGCAAGUUGGGUUAAUGGAGACUAUAAAUUGUAUUAAAAUGACAGGCUGCAGGUGUCUAUUUUUUAGAUUGAUCUCUCCUCUUUACAUAGUGUACAUAGGACUAAUUGUAUUUAUGCUUAAAAGAAGCAUAUGAGAACAAAUUAUAAUUGUACGAGCACAUAUUUCUUAUCAAUGAAGAAAAAUACACAAUUUAGAAUAUGUAAUAAGAUUUUGUUCAAAUCUAGCCUCAAAAAAAUACAUUUGAUCUUAAUUUAGGAGGCUAGUAGUUAAAGGUGCCAUAUGUAGUAAUGUGGCCAGAAAUGGUACUGCAAUCCCGGUCAAAAUUCUGUAGUCCCCUCCCACUCUCCAUGACUGAGGUUGCCAGAUACGCAGCCGAAUCCAGUGCUUUGCUCCUAAGCAUUCGUUGCAAGAACAUACUAGCUUUGUUAGACAAGGUCAUAGACUGUAUUGGACAAUAUAGUUUACAUACGAAAUGUCCAUUUCCAUUUAUUACAAGUAAUAAGAACACGUAAAUGCCUUACUUACCUGUCAAGGAGGAAAUUAGCAAGUUUGGUGUCAGAUGAAAAAAUAUUUUCCUCCUUCAAUCGUCUCCAUCUUUCAAAGGCAUCCCUGAUACAAAUCCUUGUUUUGUUCCUGGCUUUGUCAUGAAUAAGUUGAGAAUCCUAACAACUUCUUUUAGAUUUACUAAGGUCUGACAUGUUUAGUAACUUUACCAGUGGCAGAAAGCUCGACGAAGAGGGCGGUGCCUAAAUGGCAACCUGGAUGUGACACACACACUGACUUUUAAAUUGGUCAAAUGAUGGAGGACAGGGCAUCGAAAUGAAAACAAUAACACUAUUUCGGGGCUGUAAAUCUAUAUAAAGGUAUUCAAAAAGAACAUGAUUUAUUAAUGCUUUUUGACAUAUCAGGGCCAUUUAAUGAUGACUUGGCAUGAAAUUAUUACAUAUGGCACCUUUAAGAAAAUGUGGCUUAAUCUUGCCUCAUAAUAAGGACUUUUUUCUUAAACUUAAACCUGAUUUAUUAUUUUAGAAUUUGUUGUAUUCCUAAAGUCACGAGAAAAGUAUUCUGGUUUUUAAAAUUCGAACCAAGAACAUUUUGCUUACCUCUUUAGUAGAUUUGUUAUUUAUUUUGCUUGGAAAAAAAAGUUUGAGAUCAUUUGGGCUUGUUUCGAGUUUGGCUGCUUUUGCAGUGGUGUGUAUUUUUUUUAAUCUGUAUUCUUUUAUCUGUAUUCUUCUGCCAUGUGCUUGUAACGACAGUGGAUUCCUGCAAAUAAUAAAAGUAAAUGAAUAAAAUAACGGGUACAGGCAUAAAAAGCCCUAAAAAUGCACAUAAAGAAACAAUCACAUGCAUUCAGUCCAAAACGUGCAGUUACACAAGCCGUCCUGUCAAAGCUUCUUCCUGCUGGAACAUUUUGCAUGAGUUGGCUUGGGAGAAAGCGCCUUCUUCUGCAGCAGUCUUCGUUUUGUCCCUGCAGAUAGCGCCAUCAAACCACUUUCUACCCAAGUUAUGAAAAAAAAGACAAUUUAAAGCGGCGAUAAAAGGCUGAACCGCUAAAAAGCGGGAAUCUAUACAGUAGUUUUCUUUUUGUGCAGUCCUAAUAGUUUAUGGAAGUGCGUUGAAUGGGCUGUGCUUGUGUACCCUGUGCAAUGCCAGUUAGAAGGACUUUAAUGCACAAACGCAGCAGUGAGCAGCCUCCUUUGAUCAAAGCAAAGAGCAGAGGGGAAAACUGAUGGCUUGCGCAUCACCUGCAAUUAGUGUCAUGCGUCUACAUGUAUCAGGGUGUCAAAACCGUGGAAACAUUGCCUUAGGCCAUGUAGGCAAACGAGCAACAUUCUGUUUGUGUUUGGCAGCUAAUGCUCGUGCACAACAGUCCCAAGAACAGUCAGCGACU